rnacentral:misc_RNA from 1 species
UUGUAAAUCAACCGCACUACAGCGUCUUUGAUUUCCUUUUUCCCAAUUGCUUUUAGUAAGGCUUUUUGCGGGUCAGCCGCAUCAGACACAUCCACUUCAAUGGUGCGGAACACUCGCACGGGCAAGGGACAAAAUUCCCACUGUGCCUGACCUCGUUCCAGCUCAACGAGUACGUAACCUUUAUCUUCUUUUUCUUCGCUGAAAUCUACCCGUUCGAUGCUACCUGGGUAGAUGACAGGCGGGUCAUUCGUCUUGUUGAGAUUCUGGUGCCGAUGGACGUGCCCCAGCGCCACGUAAUCGAAGCAGGGUCGUACCAGCAUCGACAGGGGAAUCGUGAACCCCUUGCCCACAGCAAGGAAGCGCUCAGCUCCCAAGUUAGCGCGGU